AGGAUCAUUAUUGAUUGCGAAUCGUUGUCUUCAGUGCUGGCCAGCUCUGGCAAGUGCACGUUGGCGGCUUUUCAUCCAAUACCCCUGUGAACCUUUGGCCUCUUGCUAGCUUUGGCUGGCAGAGGAUUUUUACACCCACUCGAAUGUAAUGAAAUUAUUGUUGUGCGUAAGCACUACUGUACAACUUUCAACAACGGAUCUCUUGGCUCUCGCAUCGAUGAAGAACGCAGCGAAAUGCGAUAAGUAAUGUGAAUUGCAGAAUUCAGUGAAUCAUCGAAUCUUUGAACGCACCUUGCACCCUUUGGCAUUCCGAAGGGUAUGCUCGUUUGAGUGUCAUUGUACUCUCACACUUCUGAUCCUUUUGGAUUGGGAGCGGUGGACUUGGGUGUUGCUGCUGCUUUACUGCGGCUCACCUCAAAUGCAUUAGUGCAACUCUUGGUUGGACAUAGUACGGCGUGAUAAGUAUCUUCGCCGGCACCUCGCAAGAGGGUGGCUGAUCAGGAGCUCUGUGCUCUCCAACUGUCUUCGGACAACAACUGACAACUUGACCUCAAAUCGAGUAGGACCACCCGCUGAACUUAAGCAUAUCAAUAAGCGGAGGAAAAGAAACUAACAAGGAUUCCCCUAGUAACUGCGAGUGAAGCGGGAAGAGCUCAAAUUUUGAAUCUGGCGGUCUUUCGGCCGUCCGAGUUGUAAUCUAGAGAAGCG
rnacentral:rRNA from 1 species